rnacentral:lncRNA from 1 species
GACGCGGAACGCCUCAUAAUCAAAGAUUUACAGAGACAGACAUAUCCAGAGGAACUGAAUCUUCUGAAGAAAGGCUCUCGGCUGCCACUCCACAAUGAGAUGCAUCGCCUCGACGCCUUUCUGGACAAUGAUGGUGUGAUCAAGGUGGGAGGUAGACUCGGUGACUCAAAUCUCCCUCACGCAGCCAAACAUCCUGCGAUCAUUCCGAAGGAACAUCACGUCACGAAGAUGAUCAUCGUCCACUGUCAUGAAAAGGCUAAACAUCAAGGUAAAGGAAUGACCAUCAACGAAAUCAGGUCAAAGGGCUACUGGAUAUCGGGGAUUGGUCGAGCCGUGGCCUCUCAUCUUCGCCAAUGUGUGAUGUGUAGAAAGCUCAGGAGACACACAGAAGAGCAAAGAAUGGCCGAUCUCCCACCAGAGCGUUUGGAUCCAUCUCCACCAUUUACAUACUGUGGAAUGGACUGCUUUGGACCCUUUUACACCAAAAAAGGACGGCGUGUGUGCAAAAGAUAUGGCCUUCUCUUCACCUGCUUCUCCUCCAGAGCCAUUCAUAUCGAAAUGCUGGAGGACAUGUCAACAGAUUCCUUCAUAAAUGGACUGCGCUGCUUCAUUGCCAUACGUGGUGCAGUGCGCCAGAUAAAAUCUGACCAAGGAAGCAACUUCCUAGGAGCUAAAAAUGAACUGAAGGAAGCUCUUAAGGAAGUUGAUAUUGACAAACUGGCAAUCUUUCUCUCUGAGAAUCAGUGCGACUUCAUCAUGAAUGCACCAGGUUCAAGCCACGUCGGCGGAGUGUGGGAGCGUCAAAUUAGGACGGUCAGGAGUGUCCUCAACUCGACCCUCUCUCUCUCUCCUGGAAAUCUGGACGAUGCGUCCCUCCGAGCAUUCUUCUAUGAAGCAAUGACAAUAGUUAAUAGUCGCCCUCUCACUGUUGAGAACCUCAAUGAUCCCAACAGUCUUGAGCCGCUUACCCCUAACCAACUUCUUACCAUGAAGUCUACCCCAGCUCUUCCUCCCCCUGGCAAGUUCAUCAGAGAAGAUAUGUAUGCGAGAAAGAGGUGGCGCCAUGUACAGUACUUAGCGGAGCAGUUCUGGAGCCGUUGGCGUAAAGAGUAUUUAUCCAACAUCGCCAUCCGGCAACGCUGGCACACCCCGAAGAGAAACCUACAAAAAGGGGAUGUAGUGAUGAUGAAAAAUGAUGAUCUGCCCAGAAAUGAAUGGAGGUUGGGUAGAGUUUCAGAAACUACAGUGGAUAGGGAUGGACUGGUUA